rfam:Aedes albopictus isolate Foshan contig8257, whole genome shotgun sequence.
UGUUCUGUGGCUUAGUUGGUUACAGCGCCGGUCUUGCGAAUACGGAGUCGUGGGUUCGAAUACCACCAGAACGC